AUAAAAAUUUAAUUAAUAAACAAAAAGUAUUUCUAAACACUCAACAUUAAGGAAAGCCAGCAACCAAAAGAUUUUAAUAGAUAAUUCACUAAAGAAGAUGUUCACAUGGUACAAUAGAAUGUGAAAAGGUGCUUAAACUUAUGUGCCAUUAGGGAAUUGCAAAUUAGGACCACUAUGAGAUUUUACUAUACAUCUAGUAGAAUGGCUAGUAAAAGUCUAAAAUACCGAUAUGAAUAUCAAAUACCGGUUAAAAUGUGGAGCAACUGGAACUCAUAUGUGUGGUGGGAAUGCAAAAUUAUACAGAAGCUUUGGAAAAGUAUGAUACUUGUUUCUUCUCCAAAGCAUUUGCCCUAUAGAAAUGAACAUUUAUGUUCACAUAAAACCAGUACCUGAAAGUUUAUAGAACGAAUUUUAUUCAGAAUCACCAAAAGUGGGAAGUUUUUACAUAUCCAUCAAUUAGCAAAUGGAUAAAAACCAGUGGUACAUCCAUACAAUGAAGUACAUUGAUAUAUACGGAUGAACUGUUGAUUGAUAUAACCACAUAGAGAGCCUAAAUGCAUUUUGCUAAGUGAAGGAAGCCAGACCAAAAAGUCUACAUAUUGCAUGAUUCCAUUCAUAUGACCGCUGGAAAUGGCAAAACCAUAUGAAUGGAGAACAAAUAAGUGGUUUCCAUGGCUUGGAAAUCGGAUUUACAAUAAAAAGAGCAUUUCAGAGAAAUCAGUGAUAAAACUGUUCUGUAUGGUUUUAGAGUGGAAGAAUACAUGACUUUAUACUUGUCAAAACCCAUGACCUAUAUACCAUAAAGUCAAUUUUCUGUAUGUAACUUAGAAAUAAAAGUCUCUCUGCCCUGGCCAGUUUUCUCAGUGGUUAUAGUGUCAGCCCGCAGACCAAAGGGUCUUGGGUUUGAUUCUGGUCAAGGGCACAUACUUUGGUUGCAGGGUCAAUCCUCAGCCCAGUCGGUGCACAUUCGGAAGGCAACCAAUUGAUUUUUCUCGAUCACAUCAAUGUUUCUCUCUCUCCUGCCCCCUUCCACACUGAAAAUCAAUAGGGAAAAAUAUCCUUGGGGAAGGAUUAAGAAGAAAAAAUAAAAAUAAAAACCUCUAAAACCGCCUAUUAAGUGAGCAGAGAUUUAUAAAAACAAGAAGCUUUGCUUUAAUGUGUAGAGAACUAUGCACAAUUAUAUAUCAUUGAUGGGAAAUAAUUUGUACAACAAUAUUGAGAACAAUUCAUUAAUACCUUUCAAGUGCCUCUCAUCAUUCAAACUCGGUAAUUCCAAUUCUAAUUUAUUCAAAAUAAAUAGAGAUGCAUGUAAAGAUUAAUAUACUAUGGUCUUCAUUACAUUUUUAAAAUUAAAUCUUUAUUGCUGAAAGUAUUACAUAUUGAUACUGGAACCAGUGAGCAGGAAUUCUUUCCAGGGUCGUGUCUCACAAAAUUAAAGAAUGAAGCCAUUGGACCAGCCGGAGGAGUUCAACAAGGCAGGAGUUUAUUGCAAACAAACCCAGGCUCCCUGCUCAGAUUCCACAUAUGAGUGAGACUAACCUACCCCAGGAUGUUGUGGAAUACAGCACAUUCAUCUGUCACCCAGCCGCCAUCCUGGUUCCAAGGCUGCAUCUCUCCACUGGACUGAUGGCAAGGUUGUCAGUGUUUUGCUCCUGGGCCUACUUCCAGCUGUGUGUUUGAAUCCUUCUUCUGCGAUGGACUACUCCCUGGCUGCGGUCCUCUCUCUAUAUAGUCACUGGGGCCUUGGACAAGUUGUUACUAUGUUCAAAAGGAUGCAUUGCAGAAAUCUGCCAAGGCAGGCCUCUUGGCACUCUCGGUUUUCACCUUUGCUGGGCUUUGUUAUUUCAACCAUCACAAUGUGGACAUCUGCAAAGCUGUUGCCAUGCUGUGGAACCUCUGACCUUGACUUACUACCUUGAAAAUUGAUUGUACACCUCUUUGCCUCUGCUUUGUCAUGCCAUUCAUCUCACAAUAAGGAGGAAAUAACAGAUAAGUCCACUGGUGAGAUAAAUCUCUUCUAAUCAUCUGGCUAGUUUUAGAAUUUAAUCUGUAAAGAAAAGGUUUGAGAGGAAUUGUAUCCAAGAAAUUGUGAGACAGAGUCCUACAUUCCGGCGAUUGAAUGAGGUUGUCCUCCAGCUUCUCAAGACUCACAAUAUAACAACAUUAUAUAUGAGCUUUCGCAUUAUAAUUUACCGAACUCUUAAAGGGAAUUCUGCUUUAUUACUAUCAAUACCUAAUCAAACUGCUAUAUUUGUCCUAGGAGUUAAGGAGAACGGAAGAACUAUUAAUUCAUAAGUAAAGACUGCAGAAACUUAUGCAUCACUUAAUGUUUGAAAACUUUCCCCCUUUAUUUAGUUGAUACCAGUCACUGAUGGUUAUAUGUCUUUGGGAAACUUAAAGUUAGGAAAUGCUCAUAUUUCACAUUACUAAUUUCUAAAGCCUGGAUAAAAGAGCCUGAAGAACUUCUGAAUAUAGAGAAGUUCCAUGCAGGGAAGAGGUACCCUUGUAGAGGUAUCAAAAUAUUACAUGUUCUAAACUGAGACUUAACUCCUCAAAUACGUUCAUUUUACUUGUCCCAAAAUAAUAUCCACAAAUAUAAAGCUUUAAAUAACAAAUUGUUAUUUUUC